CUGAAUGACCUUCGGUGGUCCGGAGUGCAGGUUUCAAACCUUUGUUAGUUGAUUAGCGUCACUGUGGUUCGAUUCCACCUUUCAGAGG